rnacentral:rRNA from 1 species
AUUGAACGCUGGCGGCAGGCCUAACACAAGCAAGUAGAGCGAUCGGCCGACGGGUGAGUAAUGUAUGGGGACUGCCCGAUAGAGGGGGAUAACUACUGGAAACGGUAGCUAAUACCGCAUACUAUCGGAUAACCCAUAUGGGAUUAGCUAGUAGUUGAGGGAAUGGCUCACCUAGGCGACGAUCCCUAGCUGGUCUGAGAGGAUGAUCAUCCGAAGUGGGACUGUGACACGGCCGAUCCUCCUCAGCAGGCAGCAGUGGUGAAUAGUGCACAAUAGGCUCAAGCCUGAUGCAGUCAUGCCCCGUGUAUGAAGAAGGCCCUAGGGUUUUAAAGUCCUUUCAGUCGGGAGGCGUUACCAACGGAAGAUGCACCGGCUAACUCCGUGCCAGCAGCCGCGGUAAUUC